ACCCAGUGUACCACAAUCACUGCAGUAGGUCAGAUAGUGAGGUUUAUUUUCUAAUAUCCUUUUACUUUUUAAAAGAACUUAAGAACAUACAUUGACUUAAAUUAUGUAUGUUAUUUUACACUUCCUUGCUGUUCAGCAAAUAUUGUUAUAUACUAAAAAAAAAGUUAAUCAGUUUUACAGCAGCUGAAUUAUACAUUAUCGAUAAAAGAAAGUCAGUUAUCUAGGUAUUUGUCAGGAAUUUUUUGUCUCCCUUAUUGGGUUUUCAGUUAAUGUGUGUAUUUCUCCAUUACCAUUAUAUCUUAAGCUUUAUUGUACCAGGCAGGAGUGUUUUCUUUUUCCAUUUCCCAGCUAAUGAGAAACUGGCUGCCUCUAGUAAAUGUGUUAUUAAUGAUUUAGGUUCUCCAAAGGCCAUACUGUUAAUUGGGAAACCUAAAAGGACCUAAUGGCUCCUUAAGAAGAUUACAUCGAGUCAUUGAUCUGAUUUGGUCAGUUAUCCUGCCCCAGUAACCUUGUGCCUCUGGACAAUCCCACCUGCUAUGCAUAAAGGGCCCUGUAUUCCCACAUGCCCUCCAGCAUCAGUCACUGUUAGGUUACAAAUAUUAAAAGCUUUGCUGAAUUAAGGUACCAUUGAUGUAAUAUCUUAAAACAGUUUUCCCUUGUAAUGGUAUUUCUCUGUUGACAUCUAUUCCUCUUCUCUUCAGGAUGCCAGCAUUCCCCUUUAUGUCCUCAGGGAUCAGAUAUCUGCAGAUCUGUAGGAAAGUGUCCUCUUUUCCAGUUCUCCAAUAAUUGGCAAGCGACCCACACCAGCAUGCUGCAGAGGAAGGUAAAAAAUCUCCAAGGUCACUGCCAAUCAGAUCUGGAGAAAAAAAUCUUCCUGGUCCCAUAUAUUGUGUUCAGUUACAUUCUGAAUAUGUUUUAACAAGAACCAGACAGCCAAGCACCUAGAGAGAGAAUGCUCGGUGCCACCUCACAGCCCUGGCCCACCACAUCCAAUGUCCCAUCUCCAGCCUGGGCCAUCCCUGAUGCUUCAGAGGAAAGAGAUUUUUAAAAAUACCUGGCAUAAACUGGGGGAAAGGAAAUCCCUUCCUGCCCCCUGCAGGUGGCUUGCUGAAACCCUGAAGAAUGAGCCUUUAUAUAUGCUAAUUUAUUGUGUAAAUGAAACUUUGAAGUGCAAUUUAACUUUAAAGAACUUCCGAGUGUAGAGAAUUCCCAUAAACCACCCCAAAAAAAUGCUGUGCUGGUUAUACUGCCUCAUCCUGAAGUGUAAUCACUUUAUGGUAAGUAUGUGUGAGAUUUUUAAUUUUGCUUCUCAUUUUAAAAAAAAUCUUGGAGAGAAUCCUUGC
rnacentral:lncRNA from 1 species